GAAAAAAGAUGUUACAUAAAAAUAUUUUUAAGAUUUUCUAAAAGCAUAUAAGCAAAGUAUUUUGAUUUAUUUGAAAAUAAUUGAAAAUAGAUUUUUCAAGGACGGUGUCGAGGUCACUGGGUCGGUGUCGUUUUUCGAAAUUUGUUAACAUAAUAUAAUAGAAGAUGUUUCGUUUUAAAUUAAGAAAUGUUAAAAUUAUUAAGUUAAAAACAUUUGAUUUUAAUGACACUUUAAAUUAGACACAAUAUUAUAGGUUACUAACUAAAAAUUGAAAAAACAACAAUAAAUAAUAAAAAAUAAUAAUAAAAAAUUAAAAUAAUUAAAAAUUUCUUAAAAAAUUGCAAAAUAACCCUUUUUCGGGAUAAAAUUGAAAAAUAACCCUUUUUCGGGUUAAAAUUGAAAAAAGAUGUUACAUAAAAAUAGUUUGUAAGAUUUUCUAAAAGCAUAUAAGCAAAGUAUUUUGAUUUAUUUGAAAAUAUUUGAAAAUAGAUUUUUCAAGGACGGUGUCGAGGUCACUGGGUCGGUGUCGUUUUUCGAAAUUUGUUAACUUAAUAUAAUAGAAGAUGUUUCGUUUUAAAUUAAGAAAUGUUAAAAUUAUUAAGUUAAAAACAUUUGAUUUUAAUGACACUUAAAAUUAGACACAAUAUUAUAGGUUACUAACUAAAAAUUGAAAAAACAACAAUAAAUAAUAAAAAAUUGAAAAAAUCAAAAAAUUCUUAAAAAAUUGCAAAAUAACCCUUUUUUGGGAUAAAAUUGCAA